rnacentral:rRNA from 1 species
AUUGAACGCUGGCGGCAGGCCUAACACAUGCAAGUCGAACGAGUGGCGGACGGGUGAGUAAUAUCUGGGAAACUGCCUGAUGGGGGGGGAUAACAACUGGAAACGGUAGCUAAUACCGCAUCCCAUCAGAUGUGCCCUGAUGGGAUUGGCUUGUUGGUGGGGUAACGGCCCACCAGGGCGAGGAUCCCUAGCUGGUCGGAGAGGAGGACCAGCCACCUGGGAACGGAACCACGGUCAAUAGGCCGACGGUAGGCACCAGUGGGGAAUAUUGCACAAGGGGCGCAAGCCUGAUGCAGCCAUGCCGCGUGUAUGAAGAAGUCCUUCGGGUUGGAAAGUACGUUCAGCGGGGAGGCGUUACCCGCAGAAGAAGCACCGGCUAACUCCGUGCCAGCAGCCGCGGUAAUUC